rnacentral:sRNA from 1 species
AUUAAUUUUUUACACAUAAAUCUUUCCUUAUGAAACGCUAACAAAUGGAGUUAAUGCCACCUGAGGUUUUCAAUUUAGAAAUCUCUAUCCCUACUAGUGCUAGGUGAGUUUUUAUUAAUAUAAAAGUGGCAGACUUU